rnacentral:rRNA from 1 species
UUAAGCAUAUCAAUAAGCGGAGGAAAAGAAACUAACAAGGAUUCCCCUAGUAACUGCGAGUGAAGCGGGAAAAGCUCAAAUUUGAAAUCUGGCGGCUCUUUGACCGUCCGAGUUGUAAUCUAGAGAAGUGCUACCCGUGCUGGACUGUGUACAAGUCUCCUGGAAUGGGGCAUCAUAGAGGGUGAGAAUCCCGUCUUUGACACGGACUGCCAGUGCGCYGUGGGUGUGCUCUCGAAGAGUCGAGUUGUUUGGGAAUGCAGCUCAAAAUGGGUGGUAAAUGCCAUCUAAAGCUAAAUAUUGGCGAGAGACCGAUAGCGAACAAGUACCGUGAGGGAAAGAUGAAAAGUACUUUGGAAAGAGAGUUAAACAGUACGUGAAAUUGCUGAAAGGGAAACGCUUGGAGUCAGUCGCGUUGGCCAGGAAUCAGCCUUGCUUCUGCUUGGUGUACUUUCUGGUUCAACGGGUCAGCAUCAAUCUUGAUCGCCGGACAAAGUCUUUGGGAAUGUGGCAUCUUCUGGAUGUGUUAUAGCCCAUGGUCGUAUGCGGCGGCUGGGAUUGAGGAACUCGGCGUGCCCGCAAGGGAAUUGGGUCCUUGGACCACAUUUCGCGCCUAGGAUGCUGGCAUAAUGGCUUUAAUCGACCCGUCUUGAAACACGGACCAAGGAGUCUAACAUGCCUGCGAGUGUUUGGGUGGAAAAACCCAUGCGCGCAAUGAAAGUGAAAGUUGAGACCUCUGUCAAAGGAGAGCAUUGACGCCCAGACCAGACCUUCUGYGACGGAUCUGCGGUAGAGCAUGCAUGUUGGGACCCGAAAGAUGGUGAACUAUGCCUGAAUAGGGUGAAGCCAGAGGAAACUCUGGUGGAGGCUCGUAGCGAUUCUGACGUGCAAAUCGAUCGUCAAAUUUGGGUAUAGGGGCGAAAGACUAAUCGAACCAUCUAGUAG